rnacentral:rRNA from 1 species
CUGCAGCCCGAGUGGGGAUCGAUUUUAUUGAGCCUAAAGCGUCCGUAGCCGGACUAGUAAACCCUUGGGUAAAUUGGGCAGCUUAACUGUCCAAAUUCCGAGGGGACUGCUAGUCUUGGGACCGGGAGAGGUCAGAGGUACUCAAGGGGUAGGGGCUAAAUCCUGUAAUCCUUUGGGGACCACCAGUGGCGAAGGCGUCUGACUAGAACGGAUCCGACGGUAAGGGACGAAACCCUGGGGCGCGAACCGGAUUAGAUACCCGAGUAGUCC